ACAUUAAAUUACAUUAGUAUAAAAGAAAACACAAAAUAAGAUUAAAGUGCCACGAAAUGGCCCCAUCUCAGCAUGUUGCUGGUGGCUUCCAGCGCUGAUCUUCCGAUGAGACCAUCAAGUGAGAAGAAUCACGGAAGGUCAGACAAGAA